CCUACGGGCGACAGCAGUGAGGAAUAUUGGUCAAUGGGCGCAAGCCUGAACCAGCCAAGACGCGUGAGGGAUGACGGUCCUAUGGAUUGUAAACCUCUUUUGUCGGGGAGCAAGGCCCGCCACGUGUGGCGGGAAGGAGAGUACCCGAAGAAAAAGCAUCGGCUAACUCCGUGCCAGCAGCCGCGGUAAUACGGAGGAUGCGAGCGUUAUCCGGAUGUAUUGGGUUUAAGGGGUGCGUAGGCGGAAGGUUAAGUCAGCGGUAAAAUGUCGGUGCUCAACACCGGCCUGCCGUUGAAACUGGCCUGCUUGAGUGAGCGAGAAGUAUGCGGAAUGCGUGGUGUAGCGGUGAAAUGCAUAGAUAUCACGCAGAACACCGAUGGCGAAGGCAGCAUACCGGCGCUCAACUGACGCUGAGGCACGAAAGCGUGGGGAUCGAACAGGAUUAGAUACCCGGGUAGUC
rnacentral:rRNA from 1 species